rnacentral:lncRNA from 1 species
UUCAUUUACACGUCUUAUGUUGUAGGUUAUAUUGACCAAUUAAUUUUGUUUUCACAAUGUCACAAGCAUAUCAGCGAUUAAAAAAAUUUAGAGAAUUAAAAAAAAAUGUAAAUAACGAUGAACAAUGCGAUGCAAAUAUUUCUCUACACAACUCAAGUAACCUAAGUGUCAAUAAUAGUGUAAAUGAUAACAGUGUAAAUAGUGAUGACAUUUGCAUUCAUUCUGAUAUUAGUUGUGACAAUGAUAUUGAUAAUGAUGAGAAUGAUACAAGUAAUAAAUUAAGCGACAAAAAUAAUGAAAGUGAUGACAACAGUGAUGACAUUGAAGAUAAAACUGGUUCAAAUAAAAGUUUUCAAGAAAAACUUCGACAGUGGGCCUUAAAAAAUUUAAACAGUCUUCAAUUAAAUGUAAUUGCUGAACUUUUAUUACUACUUAGAGAAGAAGGACAUCCUGAGUUACCAAAAACGACACAAGCUUUGUCAAAGACCAAAUCCGCGUGCACCAAUUUUUUCUUAGUCAACGUAUGUGUUUGAGUCGCUGUAUUAGACCGAUAGUCGGGUACUAUGCCUAGCUACAGAAAACAAUAAAGCAGCGCCACGCGUUUCAUGUAUGUGUAAGUGUGUGUGUGUGUGUAUUUCUUAUUUCAGUUUAUUUGUGACAUCGUGACUGACCGGUUCGUACGUAUUUAAAUUCGUUUGUUUAAAUAUUGACUAUUAUAAUAAAUGUAAUAAAUCAUUUUUAUUAUAAUAAUUAUUAUCUUUAUUAUAUCCAUUAUUAUUAAGUGUGAAAGUAAAACUUGGUUUAUUGAAUGAACUAAUAAAGUAAAAAAACUUGCAUUUUUCUGGAUCAAACUUUUUGGCGAAAAAACAGCGAAAGGAUGCAUUUGUAAAAUGGCAUCUGCACUGAUGACCAAAAAUGUUGAAAAAAAUUACUCUGGUACUGGGAAAAGAAUAAAAGGCGUGGGAAAACUUAAUUUUAGCGCAACAGAAACAUUUAAGUGUAUGGAAGAUGUAGUAAAAGAGAAACUUGGUAACUGUGAAGAUUGCAAAAAUUUUGCUGGAAAAGUUGGCCGAUGGUUGUGAGGGCAAGGAGAUCGAGAACAGGGUCGAAAACAAAGAUCCUUAUCUUUAUAAUCUAUUUAAUAUAAAAUCAGCGAUUGAAGGACAAACGAUUAAAAUCAUAAUUGGCGCAGAACAGCUUGAAAUUAGUAGACCGAUAGUAGAAAAAAUAUUUGGCGCAUCACUGUUUGCCGUUAAUGGGCCGAUAGUUCAAAUGAUGUCUGGCCCAUUGCUGGUUGCCAUCAAUGGGCCGAUAAUUCAAAUUAUGUCUGGCCCAUCGCUGGUUGUCAUCAAUGGCCCAAUAGUUUAAUGCCAUUAAUGGGCCGUGGUUAUCAUGCCAACUGUAAGCCGUUUAUUGGCCAUAGAAAAUUGCCAUUACUGUGCCAUUAAUCGACAUUCUUGGCCCAGCAAUGGCCCAGUCUAGGGCCGAUUUCCAAACUUUGUAUGGGAUAAUGUACUUAGUUGUUUAAAAUUACAGUAAAGUUUCCCUAACUUCUUUAUUCUCCAACUUCAACUACCCACCAUUUUUUACUAAAACGAGCGGAGGGGCUUAUCUACUACUGUGUAUUUUCCAAAUUAAAUUCUUGGAAUUCGGGAUGCCUCUCAAUUGAAGUUGGGCAGACUCUACUGAAUAGAAGUUUUGAUUGUAGGUAUUGCAUUUAUUUAUUUAUUUAUUUAUCAAAAUUUUAGACCCUGAAGCCUUAGCUCUCUAAGGACCUUACAUAUAAAUUAAUACAUAGUAAUAAUAAAAGUUAUUAACAGUAAUGGAAAUGAUAAUAAUAAAGUAAAAAUAAAUAAAUAACGUUGUCUCAAAGCAAAGUCCAUCAAAGUAAUUAAUUUAACAUUUAAUGCCUCUAGAUCAUAAAACAAAAGAGAUGAAAAAAAUAUAAAUUUAUAUAUAAAUAAUUAGUGAUUUGAACAGUUAUGUAAUGACGAUUAUAUAACAUCUUUAUCGACAAAAAACUUGUAACACUUUGAUCGAAAUUCAUUGUAAUCAGUAAUCAUCACAAUCUCCUCCGGUAACUGAUGGUUCCACACCCUGACUGCCGUGAUAAUAAAUGAGUUGUCGAAUGUUGCGGUUUGAGCAAAUGGCAAGCUCAACACAUCAAUUUGCCAGACAAAGCGUAUUCGAACCGAAGUCAACAGACUGAAGUCUUGCAGCAGUAUUCUGUUAUGAUGGAAUCUCAGCAUUUUAAAAACAGUGCAAGCCAUCAGGAACUCACGCCGACUAGAUAAAGUUAGCCAACCAAGUAGCCUUCUACUUGGAGUAACGUGGUCAUAUCUCGCCAGUCUGCAGAUGAACCUGAUGCAGGCAUUGAAUUUUCUCUGCAGCUUUUUAAUUUUCUCUCAGCAUUUAAUACAAUGCAAACAAUUCAGUUUUGCUCACUUCAAGCAAUUUGCGAAAAUUCGGGCCUCACGUACCUAUUUUUCUACAUUUAUAUUUCUAUGUUGAUAAAAUCGCUCCCAUCACAUGAUGUGACUACUUACCAUAAUCUUAUAUUCUUUAUUAAGAUUGUUAUAGCUAUUAUGUAAAGUGACUACUCAACACGUUUUUUAUCAUUUAUUUACCGCGACUUACAUGCAUUUAGUUCAAGGGUAUGUAACACUUCAAAUCACUAAGUCUAGUUUAAAUCAC